rnacentral:rRNA from 1 species
GAUGAACGCUGGCGGCGUGCUUAACACAUGCAAGUCGAACGGAACUACUCCAAUGAGGGUCUUCGGAAAGGAUCUGGUUUAGUUUAGUGGCCGACGGGUGAGUAACGCGUGGGUAACCUGCUCUAUACAGGGGGAUAACAGUUGGAAACGACUGUUAAUAGCGCAUAAGCGCACAGGAGCGCAUGCCCCGGUGUGAAAAACUCCGGUGGUAUAGGAUGGACCAGCGUCUGAUUAGCUGGUUGGCGGGGUAACGGCCCACCAAGGCGACGACCAGUAGCCGGCCUGAGAGGGUGAACGGCCACAUUGGGACUGAGACACGGCCCAAACUCCUACGGGAGGCAGCAGUGGGGAAUAUUGCACAAUGGGGGAAACCCUGAUGCAGCGACGCCGCGUGAGCGAAGAAGUAUCUCGGUAUGUAAAGCUCUAUCAGCAGGGAAGAAAAUGACGGUACCUGACUAAGAAGCCCCGGCUAACUACGUG